rnacentral:sRNA from 1 species
GAGUUUGAAGCUUGUUGUCGGGCGAGUU